rnacentral:rRNA from 1 species
UAUAGGUUUGGUCCCAGCCUUCCUGUUAACUUUCAAUAGACUUAUACAUGCAAGCAUCCACGCCCCGGUGAGUAACGCCCUUCGAAUCACACAGGACUAAAAGGAGCAGGUAUCAAGCACACACUCUUGUAGCUCACAACGCCUUGCUUAACCACACCCCCACGGGAGACAGCAGUAACAAAAAUUAAGCCAUAAACGAAAGUUUGACUAAGCCAUAUUGACUAGGGUUGGUAAAUCUCGUGCCAGCCACCGCUUUCAUUCGAUUGACCCAAGCUAACAGGAGUACGGCGUAAAGCGUGUUAAAGCAUCAUACUAAAUAGAGUUAAAUUUUAAUUAAACUGUAAAAAGCCAUAAUUAUAACAAAAAUAAAUGACGAAAGUAACCCUACAAUAGCUGAUACACCAUAGCUAAGACCCAAACUGGGAUUAGAUACCCCACUAUGCUUAGCCCUAAACACAAAUAAUUAU